rnacentral:lncRNA from 1 species
GAGUUUUAGAAUCCUUCAAGAUCACAGCAGACAGCUCCUGGGAAACACUGAAGGUUGAAGGGAAGACUUGCUCCUGCUUCCUGAACUGCUUGAGUUCCAGUCCUGACUUCCUUUGGUGAUGAACAGCAAUGUAGAAGUGUUGCAGAGGGGCAUAUAUGGUGCCAGUUCCCAUGGCUGCACAUUCUGGAGCAAGGCAGAGACAGGGACAGUUAUGUCUGAGCGAGCUGUGAGCAGCAGAUGAUGAAUCCCGAAUCUAGGAGCAGCAUUUUUAUCUGGUCAGAAAAGGUUACAAGAUAUUAAAGAAUUUAGUCAAGAACACAAAGUUGAAAAAUUGGUAGAUGACACUCAAUUCUAAGAGCUGGCACCAAAGGAGUUUCAAGAAUAGGCAUUAGAUGCUUGUGGAUAUUUCACAGACAUCAUCCAACAUUUCCUUCUUUUGCCUCAAAGGCAGUAGCAAAGGACCGCCCAGAUCUGCGGGGACCAGUGUGUUGGAAGAUUUACAAGCUACCAUGAACAGACAGACAGACAGACAGACAGACAGACAGACUGAAGAUUCACAGUGAGAUUGCGUGAAAGAGGGUAAUUGAGACUUUGAACAGAGCAGGACCAGAAACAAUAGCCAAGUCAUGAACGAGAAGGGGGCUGGCUCUCAGGCCAGGGGAUCACAUCGGAAGCCAGAUGUUUCCACCGCAUUGAACAUGCUCCUUUAAAACAGUUCAGGGAACAGUUCCACUUUAUUUUUUUAACCCUAAAAUCUGAUUUCUCUUUCAAUUCAUAAGAUAGUAUACAUUUCUACUCCGCCGGAUCUUCAGAAGACUGACCAAAUUCAAGGUUUUGUUUGACAGCCAGCAAAUGGGGCAACUUACGUGACUAGCCAAAAUUUUCAUGAGUGACCCGACACCCAGAAGAAGAAUCAGAUACUGGUGGAACAAUACUCUUGUUUGAUCUCGUUAUGUUUGACCUUCAUUUUCUAAUAGAUGAUAAAGUUUAAAAUGACACAAAUAUUUCAUUAUAAAUCUUUCACUGUUUUCAAAAAUCCCUAAACAUUUAAAUGUCCAUUUUCCAUGCAGGUUUAUUACAAUGGUGAUUCUAACCCAGAUGGCAUUUUAGGUGUUUGAACAACUUUUAUCUUUGACCUUUUGGGGGGCAGUGGAAUAUGAACCCAAACAUUCAAACAUCCAUCUGAAUGUCUCAGGUUGAAAUAACUUGAAAUGUUAAAAUGGCAUUGAUAUUGAAGUAUUGAAAUUUUGUAAAGUUGAAAUAGCAACUUCGAAAUGUUCUUGAUGUAUUCCCUAUAUAAUGUUGACAAUUUCUGCCUAUAAAUAGAAUUUCUCUUUCUGACACUGGUGGAUGGAUAUUAGAAAGUAUGCUUCAAGCCUUUUGACUUGACAACUCAGAUAUAGCUAGGACCUGUAUAAAUGACUUCUACUAAUUAAUCUAUGAAAAAUUCUAUGUGUCAAAGCAUAUAUAACUAUUGUUCUGACUAUAUCAUGUGCCAGUGUGCAUAAAAAAUAAAAUAUUCUAUAUC